rnacentral:tRNA from 2 species
GACUUAAAAUCCGUCGACUUUUAAAAUCGUGAGGGUUCAAGUCCCUCUAUCCCCAAAAAAAGCCUAUUUGACUCCCCCAAAAAUAUUUAACCUAUCCGC